GUGGUUUAAUUCGAAGCAACGCGAAGAACCUUUACCAGGUCUUGACAUCCGAUGCUAUUUCUAGAGAUAGAAAGUUACUUCGGUACAUCGGUGACAGGUGGUGCAUGGUUGUCGUCAGCUCGUGUCGUGAGAUGUUGGGUUAAGUCCCGCAACGAGCGCAACCCCUAUUGUUAGUUGCCAUCAUUCAGUUGGGCACUCUAGCGAGACUGCCGGUAAUAACCGGAGGAAGUGGGAUGACGUCAAAUCAUCAUGCCCCUUAUGACCUGGGCUACACACGUGCUACAAUGGUUGGUACAACGAGUUGCGAGUCGGUGACGGCGAGCUAAUCUCUUAAAGCUAAUCUCAGUUCGGAUUGUAGGCUGCAACUCGCCUACAUGAAGUCGGAAUCGCUAGUAAUCGCGGAUCAGCACGCCGCGGUGAAUACGUUCCCGGGCCUU
rnacentral:rRNA from 1 species